AUUGAACGCUGGCGGCAUGCCUUACACAUGCAAGUCGAACGGCAGCGCGGGGGCAACCUGGCGGCGAGUGGCGAACGGGUGAGUAAUAUAUCGGAACAUACCCUAGAGUGGGGGAUAACGUAGCGAAGUUACGCUAAUACCGCAUACGCACUAAGGUGGAAAGUGGGGGAUCUUCGGACCUCAUGCUCAUGGAGUGGCCGAUAUCUGAUUAGCUAGUUGGUGAGGUAAAGGCUCACCAAGGCGACGAUCAGUAGCUGGUUUGAGAGAACGACCAGCCACACUGGAACUGAGACACGGUCCAGACUCCUACGGGAGGCAGCAGUGGGGAAUUUUGGACAAUGGGGGCAACCCUGAUCCAGCAAUGCCGCGUGAGUGAAGAA
rnacentral:rRNA from 1 species